UACGUAGGGUGCGAGCGUUAAUCGGAAUUACUGGGCGUAAAGCGUGCGCAGGCGGUUUUGUAAGCCAGAUGUGAAAUCCCCGGGCUCAACCUGGGAAUGGCAUUUGGGACUGCAAGGCUGGAGUACGGCAGAGGAGACUGGAAUUCCUGGUGUAGCAGUGAAAUGCGUAGAGAUCAGGAGGAAUACCGAUGGCGAAGGCAGGUCUCUGGGCUUAUACUGACGCUCAUGCACGAAAGCGUGGGGAGCAAACAGG
rnacentral:rRNA from 1 species